AGAGUUUGAUCCUGGCUCAGGAUGAACGCUAGCGGCAGGCUUAAUACAUGCAAGUCGAGGGGCAGCAUGGUGUAGCAAUACACUGAUGGCGACCGGCAAACGGGUGCGGAACACGUACAGAACCUUCCUUCAAGCGGGGAAUAGCCCAGAGAAAUUUGGAUUAAUACCCCAUAGUAUAUCGAUUAGGCAUCUUUUUGAUAUUAAAGAUUUAUCACUUGAAGAUGGCUGUGCGGCUGAUUAGGUAGUUGGCGGGGUAACGGCCCACCAAGCCUACGAUCAGUAACUGGUGUGAGAGCACGACCAGUCACACGGGCACUGAGACACGGGCCCGACUCCUACGGGAGGCAGCAGUAAGGAAUAUUGGUCAAUGGACGAAAGUCUGAACCAGCCAUGCCGCGUGGAGGAUGAAGGUCCUCUGGAUUGUAAACUUCUUUUAUCUGGGACGAAAAAAGGUCUUUCUAGAUCGUCUGACGGUACCAGAUGAAUAAGCACCGGCUAACUCCGUGCCAGCAGCCGCGGUAAUACGGAGGGUGCAAGCGUUAUCCGGAUUCACUGGGUUUAAAGGGUGCGUAGGUGGGUUGGUAAGUCAGUGGUGAAAUCCCCGAGCUUAACUUGGGAACUGCCAUUGAUACUAUCAGUCUUGAAUACCGUGGAGGUCAG
rnacentral:rRNA from 1 species